UACGGGGGGGGCAAGCGUUGUUCGGAAUUACUGGGCGUAAAGGGCUCGUAGGCGGCCAACUAAGUCAGACGUGAAAUCCCUCAGCUUAACUGGGGAACUGCGUCUGAUACUGGAUGGCUUGGAUUCGGGAGAGGAAUGCGGGAUUCCAGGUGUAGCGGUGAAAUGCGUAGAUAUCUGGAGGAACACCGGUGGCGAAGGCGGCAUUCUGGACCGAUAUUGACGCUGAGGAGCGAAAGCCAGGGGAGCAAACGGG
rnacentral:rRNA from 1 species